rnacentral:rRNA from 1 species
UACGAAGGGGGCUAGCGUUGCUCGGAAUUACUGGGCGUAAAGGGCGCGUAGGCGGCUUAGUUAGUCAGGCGUGAAAUCCCCGGGCUUAACCUGGGAAUGGCAUUUGGGACUGCAAGGCUUGAGUGCGGCAGAGGAGACUGGAAUUCCUGGUGUAGCGGUGAAAAUGCGCAGAUAUCAGGAGGAACACCGGUGGCGAAGGCGGGUCUCUGGGCCGAUACUGACGCUGAGGAGCGAAAGCGUGGGGAGCGAACAGG